rnacentral:rRNA from 1 species
AGCCAUGCCGCGUGUAUGAAGAAGGCCUUCGGUUGUAAAGUACUUUCAGCAGUGAGGAAGGUGGGUAUGUUAAUAGCAUACUCAUUUGACGUUAGCUGCAGAAGAAGCACCGGCUAACUCCGUGCCAGCAGCCGCGGUAAUACGGAGGGUGCGAGCGUUAAUCGGAAUUACUGGGCGUAAAGCGCAUGCAGGUGGUUUGUUAAGUCAGAUGUGAAAGCCCGGGGCUCAACCUCGGAAUUGCAUUUGAAACUGGCAAACUAGAGUACUGUAGAGGGGGUAGAAUUUCAGGUGUAGCGGUGAAAUGCGUAGAGAUCUGAAGGAAUACCGGUGGCGAAGGCGGCCCCCUGGACAGAUACUGACACUCAGAUGCGAAAGCGUGGGGAGCAAACAGGAUUAGAUACCCUGGUAG